rnacentral:rRNA from 1 species
GAUGAACGCUGGCGGCGUGCCUAACACAUGCAAGUCGAGCGAUUCUCUUCGGAGGAGAGCGGCGGACGGGUGAGUAACGCGUGGGUAACCUGCCCUGUACACACGGAUAACAUACCGAAAGGUAUGCUAAUACGGGAUAAUAUGCUUUAGUCGCAUGGCUGAAGUAUCAAAGCUCCGGCGGUACAGGAUGGACCCGCGUCUGAUUAGCUAGUUGGUAAGGUAAUGGCUUACCAAGGCGACGAUCAGUAGCCGACCUGAGAGGGUGAUCGGACACAUUGGAACUGAGACACGGUCCAAACUCCUACGGGAGGCAGCAGUGGGGAAUAUUGCACAAUGGGCGAAAGCCUGAUGCAGCAACGCCGCGUGAGCGAUGAAGGCCUUUGGGUCGUAAAGCUCUGUCCUCAAGGAAGAUAAUGACGGUACUUGAGGAGGAAGCCCCGGCUAACUACGUGCCAGCCGCCGCAGUAA